UGCCUUUUGUUCAUUUUGGGGGGGAUAAGUUUGUGACGGAUCUUGCAUGUCAUCGUACCGCAGGUGGUCGUUGAUUAUUUGCAUGCACCCAACAAGCCAAAAGACUCAUUUGGCGAAGAAGUUUUUAAAAAAAGGAGAUAAAUGUAGCCCCUUGUCUCUAAGGGGUCUCCUUUUUCAGAAGAAUAGUCAUUCCUCUACAGAAGAACAAGAAAACUAGAUUCAUUGAAAAGUACAGCUUCUUGAAUUGGAUGUAUAUAAAAUUAAUUAUUGUAAUUUAGAAUUGGUGCAUUGAUUUUGUUACAUGUAAAUAAAAUAAAAUUCUUUUCCU